UAUCUCUGUAGAGUCUGCAUAUCAAUAAGCGGAGGAAAAGAAACUAACAAGGAUUCCCCUAGUAACGGCGAGUGAAGCGGGAAGAGCUCAAAUUUGAAAUCUUCAAGGUUUGACCUUGACGAAUUGUAGUUUAAAGAAGUGUUUUCGGUUAGAGGAGUGGUAAAAGUUCUUUGGAAUAGGACAUCAUAGAGGGUGAGAAUCCCGUAUUUGACCAUUCUUUCUAGCUUUGUGAUACACUUUCAAAGAGUCGGAUUGUUUGGGAAUGCAGUCCAAAAUGGGUGGUAAACUUUCAUCUAAAGCUAAAUAUUGGCGAGAGACCGAUAGCGAACAAGUACCGUGAGGGAAAGAUGAAAAGAACUUUGAAAAGAGAGUUAAACAGUACGUGAAAUUGUCAAAAGGGAAGCGUUUGACACCAGUGUUGUUUUUCCGAAAAUCAAUUAAAAAAUGGAUUCAUGCUAAGUUGUAUUGACCUUAUCAGCUUGCAAUUUAGUUUUGGGUUUCUUUUUGAUGCACUUUUCGGUUAACAAGUCAACAUCAAUUUCCUUUGCUGUAAAAAGGCAGGAGGAAGGUGGCUUCAAUUUCGGUUGAAGUGUUUAUAGCCUUCUGUCUCUGCAGUCGGGGAGAUUGAGGUCUGCAGCGUAGAUCCUUCGGGGCUAGAUACAUUCGUGCUAAGUUAUAGCCUUUUAUAGACAACUUGUUGACUAUGAUUGGUCUUGUAAUUUACUCGCGAGUGCUAUUUUACCUACGCUUAGGAUGUUGAUCUACAGAGCGAGAGU
rnacentral:rRNA from 1 species